AUUGAACGCUGGCGGCAGGCCUAACACAUGCAAGUCGAACGGCAGCGGGGGAUAGCUUGCUAUCCUGCCGGCGAGUGGCGGACGGGUGAGUAAUGCAUGGGGAGCUGCCCAGUCGAGGGGGAUAACAACUGGAAACGGUUGCUAAUACCACAUACGCCCUAAGGGGGAAAGGUGGGGAACUUCGGUCCUACCGCGAUUGGAUGCGCCCAUGUGGGAUUAGCUAGUUGGUGAGGUAACGGCUCACCAAGGCGACGAUCUCUAGCUGGUCUGAGAGGAUGACCAGCCACACUGGAACUGAGACACGGUCCAGACUCCUACGGGAGGCAGCAGUGGGGAAUAUUGCACAAUGGGGGAAACCCUGGUGCAGCCAUGCCGCGUGUGUGAAGAAGGCCUUCGGGUUGUAAAGCACUUUCAGUCAGGAGGAAGGGGUGAUGGCUAAUAUCCAUCAUCAUUGACGUUACUGACAGAAGAAGCACCGGCUAACUCCGUGCCAGCCGCCGCAGUAA
rnacentral:rRNA from 1 species